UACAGAGGUGGCAAGCGUUGUUCGGAAUUACUGGGCGUAAAGGGCUCGUAGGCGGUCUUGCAAGUCCCGUGUGAAAUCCCUCGGCUCAACUGAGGAACUGCACGGGAAACUGCUUGGCUUGAGUUCGGGAGGGGGAAGCGGAAUUCCGGGUGUAGCGGUGAAAUGCGUAGAUAUCCGGAGGAACACCGGUGGCGAAGGCGGCUUCCUGGACCGACACUGACGCUGAGGCGCGAAAGCUAGGGGAGCAAACGGG
rnacentral:rRNA from 1 species